rnacentral:rRNA from 1 species
AACAAAUCCCAACACCACCAAAGAACCCUUAAAUAAUACUGAGUAAUUCUAUAUAAAUAUAGAAAAUAUUAUGUUAAAACUAGUAACAAGAAGAAGAACUUCUCCUACAAUGCAAAUGUAAAUCAGACAGGACACCCCGCUGAUAAUUAACACCAAUGAGCAUAAAAUAGCAACCCAACAAGAAAACCCUACUACACCAUGUGUUAAACUGACACCAGAGCAUUUCAAGAAAGAUUUAAAGAAAAAGAAGGAACUCGGCAAACAUUAACCUCGCCUGUUUACCAAAAACAUCGCCUCUUGAAUAAGUAUAAGAGGUCCAGCCUGCCCAGUGACAAUGUUCAACGGCCGCGGUAUCCUAACCGUGCGAAGGUAGCGUAAUCACUUGUUCUUUAAAUAAGGACUAGUAUGAACGGCACCACGAAGGUUACACUGUCUCCUUUUUCUAAUCAGUGAAACUAAUCUCCCCGUGAAGAAGCGGGGAUAAGAAUAUAAGACGAGAAGACCCUAUGGAGCUUUAAACUACAAGGCACUUGCCCCUAUAUCAACCAAAUUCCAGAAAAUCAUUACCACCCAGGCAAUAUGACCCUUAGUUUUAGGUUGGGGUGACCGCGGAGCAAAAAAGAACCUCCACAUUGAAAGGAGACCUCUCCUUAGCCAAGAGCCACACCUCUAAGCACCAACAAAAAGACAUUAAUUGACCCAAUAUUUUGAUCAACGAACCAAGUUACCCUAGGGAUAACAGCGCAAUCCACUUCAAGAGCUCCUAUCGACAAGUGGGUUUACGACCUCGAUGUUGGAUCAGGGUACCCCGGUGGUGCAGCCGCUACCAAAGGUUCGUUUGUU